UGAAGGAACGUUGAAGACGACGACGUUGAUAGGUCGGGUGUGUAAGCGCAGCGAUGCGUUGAGCUAACCGAUACUAAUGAACCGUGAGGCUUAACCUUACAACGCCGAAGGUGUUU
rnacentral:rRNA from 2 species